CGUAAAACUAAUUCAGGAAAUAAACGAACACGUUAAAUUUUUUAAGGUCUAUGCAAAGACAUUAUUUGAUGAAAUAAGAGAAAUGGAUUCCAUAAUGCUGAAUUCUGACAAAGCUGAAAGCAAGAUAUCAAUUCGCAAAAGUCAAAUCGAAAGACAGAGACAGUAUCUUAGGUUUUUCUUAAUGUUUAAAUAAUUUUUAAUUAUAUUAUCAUCGUCAGUCUUGAU